rnacentral:misc_RNA from 1 species
AGACUUGUCAUCAGUUGUGCAAAUAAAGGAACUUAGUGGAAUCAACUUGUACGUAGGAGGUAGAGAUGAGCGACAAAAUUCAGCAGCCAUUAUUCAGACAAUCGGCUCCAUCUGUUGGUUUCUCACCACCAGUGCCACCUUUCUUGAAUACAACAAACUACACAGUACCCCAAGUGGUGAAUUCUGAACAUAUAAUUGCUCCACCUGCAAGCAGGGCUGGUGAGAUUCGACCCAUUGCAAGAGUAUGUGCUCAAUCGAGUAUAGUACAACCCACACCUUUAUCAGCGAUGUCUUCGCCAAUGACACAUUUUCACAAUACUGGGCUCAGUGAAAGACAUGCUGGCAUAUAUGGGCAGAAUCUAUCCUUACGCAUCCCAAUUCUUAAUUCAAACAUUGUAAACCAACAAAUGAGUAUGCCCCAUACAAAUAUUCCUCCCACUGCUGGUAAUAUCACCAAUAUAGAGGACGUCAAAAAUUUAGGAUUAAAUUGUAAUAUUACAAAGGCUCAAACAUCGCUUCAACCACCAUUCAUGUUCAACAUGGGAGAUAUAGACUCAACGGGUAUAAAAGUGACCAAUCAGAAGUGCAAUACAGUUUGGGGUCAGAGUAUACCCACAACAUUUCAGUGGGAAAGCACCAGAAACUUGGAUGAAGAAUUUGGUGGUUCGAGUUCACAAAAUGCUUUUAAAUCAAGGAGAGUGCUUGCAAAGAGAAAAGCUGCAAGAGACUCUCCUAUUCCAACAAAGGUUUACAUUACAGAAAAGGAAAUGGCGCGGAGAAUCAGUAAUCUAAACCUUGAUGGGACCCCACCAUGUAGAAACAGAUCACUUUUCUCAGAUUUAGACCCCAAGUCCAGAGCACAAAAGCAACUUGAUGAAAUAGAUAUGAGGCUACAGGCAAUAGAGGACGAGGAUGAUGAAGUCCUGUUGGAAGAAGAGAUGACCGAAGAUCUGCCAAAACUUCAACUUUCUGAUGAAGUAAAAAAAUCUCUUAACGUAGCAGCUGAACUACUCCCGCAUGACCUACUAGCAAAAAUCCCACCGAGUCCAAGUCCCAAUAUGCAAGUGGUCUUGUGGAAGCCAAACAACGACGUUGUGAAAGAAGUAAUACAAUCAGUGCUAAACAAUAAAAACAGAAAAAGAGGGACAUCACCUGUUACCGUGGAAACCGUCAACCAAUCAAAUGGCAUGAGUGUUACACUGAACAGGAUGGAUGGGAUUGAUGAUGCUCCUUUGAUUUCAAAAUCAUUGCCAUAUGAUAAUAUCAACAAAAGAGGGCACCAGGAACCCCUCCCGAUGGAUGACAUGGAUGAAUGACCAUAUUUGGACUGAUUAUAGUGUUAUUAUGAUGUCACUCAGAGGAGGUGAAUUCCCAUGAAUCUAUAUGACAAUUGGGAAGAGGAUUCAAAUGAUCCACUUUAAAAAGAGAACAUGGAUGAAUGACCUUAUAUGGACUGACUAUAGUUUUAUUGUGAUGUCAUUCAAAGGAGAUAAACUCCCAUGAGGCAAUGCUGCAAAGGAGGAGCUUUACACCAUGAGAAAUAAUUUAAAUACAUACUCAGGGCUCUGACUAGGAAAUUACUACAAUAAAACCUGUCUAAAUGGAACACCUUGGGUUCUCCUAAAAAGUGUUCCACUUGGGA